rnacentral:rRNA from 1 species
GUAGGUGGCAAGCGUUGUCCGGAAUGAUUGGGCGUAAAGCGCGCGCAGGCGGUUCUUUAAGUCUGAUGUGAAAGCCCACGGCUCAACCGUGGAGGGUCAUUGGAAACUGGAGAACUUGAGUACAGAAGAGGAAAGCGGAAUUCCACGUGUAGCGGUGAAAUGCGUAGAGAUGUGGAGGAACACCAGUGGCGAAGGCGGCUUUCUGGUCUGUAACUGACGCUGAGGCGCGAAAGCGUGGGGAGCAAACAGGAUUAGAUACCCCGGUAGUCCACGCCGUAAACGAUGAGUGCUAAGUGUUAGGGGGGUUUCCGCCCCCUUAGUGCUGCAGCUAACGCAUUAAGCACUCCGCCUGGGGAGUACGGCCGCAAGGCUG